CACCGACGUGAUGUCACAAAAUGGAGAGCUGGGAAGAGAAGUGUGCAGCAGCACAUUAUUAGACAAUAUUUCCACCAUGCAGCUUGCCGAAUUCCUGAAAGUUUACCAAUCAGCACUGGCUCCUGCACACAGCUGUCUCUAAGUCUCGUCUUUCUUACCUGGGAAAUGGGAGAUGUAAUAGCAAUAACGCUUAGAGGGGACACAGGUUCGAUCCCUGGUCUGGGAAGAUCCCAUAUGCUGUGGAGCAACUAAGCCCGUGCGCCCCAACUAUUGAGCCUGCGCUCCAGAACCCACGAGCCACAACUACUGAAGCCCGCAAGCCACAACUACUGAAGCCCAUGCACCUAGAGCCCGUGCUCCGCAACAAGAGAAGCCACUGCAAUGAGAAGCCCGCGCACUGCAACGAAGAGUAGCCCCCGCUCGCUGCAACUAGAGAAAAAGCCCGCGUGCAGCAACGAA